rnacentral:rRNA from 2 species
AGCAGCCGCGGUAAUUCCAGCUCCAAUAGCGUAUAUUAAAGUUGUUGCAGUUAAAAAGCUCGUAGUUGAAUUUCGGGAUCAAUAUUUCGGUCAUGCCGUUGGUAUGCACUGUUAUCAUUGAUUUCUCACCUUCUAAAGAACCGUAAUGCCAUUAAUUUGGUGUUACGGGAAAUUAGGACUGUUACCUUGAAAAAAUUAGAGUGUUUAAAGCAGGCUCACGCUUGAAUACAUUAGCAUGGAAUAAUGAAAUAGGACAUCCGAUUCUAUUUUGUUGGUUUCUAGGAUCGAUGUAAUGAUUAAUAGGGAUAGUUGGGGGCAUUAGUAUUCAAUUGUCAGAGGUGAAAUUCUUGGAUUUAUUGAAGACUAACUACUGCGAAAGCAUUUGCCAAGGAUGUUUUCAUUAAUCAAGAACGAAAGUUAGGGGAUCGAAGACGAUCAGAUACCGUCGUAGUCUUAACCAUAAACUAUGCCGACUAGGGAUCGGAUGAUGUUAAUUUUUUAAUGACUCA